rnacentral:rRNA from 1 species
GUGGGGAAUCUUGGACAAUGGGCGCAAGCCUGAUCCAGCCAUGCCGCGUGAGUGAAGAAGGCCUUAGGGUUGUAAAACUCUUUCGCCGGAGAAGAUAAUGACGGUAUCCGGAGAAGAAGCCCCGGCUAACUUCGUGCCAGCAGCCGCGGUAAUACGAAGGGGGCUAGCGUUGUUCGGAAUUACUGGGCGUAAAGCGCACGUAGGCGGGUCUGUAAGUAGAGGGUGAAAUCCCAGGGCUCAACCCUGGAACUGCCUUCUAGACUGCAGGCCUCGAGGUCAGGAGAGGCGAGUGGAAUACCGAGUGUAGAGGUGAAAUUCGUAGAUAUUCGGUGGAACACCAGUGGCGAAGGCGACUCGCUGGACUGAUACUGACGCUGAGGUGCGAAAGCGUGGGGAGCAAACAGGAUUAGAAACCCGGGUAGUCC